GUGGAGGAGCGUGAAGCCCAGGUCCAGGAGCUGCAGGACACCAUCACAGAUCUGCACCAGGAGAUGACCAGGAAGGACCAGGACAAGCUGACACAGCUGCUGACCAGGUAGGGCUGGGGAACUAUUACCACCCAGACAGGUCUAGUUCUGGACUGGCCAAUUCUGUUGGUAAACACUUGUCCACUUCUGGUCAAGAUCAAAUAGAACUAGUAAAUCAAAAUGUUAACCUCAUUUAAUUUUAACACUAUUGACAGAGUAUGCAAUUUCUUCAUCAGCAUAAUGAAACCUACAUUGGUCUAAUCUACAGUGUAUGACACAGUUGUACUUGUAACCCAUUGGUGUGGUACAGUGAAUGAUGUGCUGUGUGGUUGUCUUGAUGGCAGGUCAGGAGCAUUGAGGAGACCACAGGCCAGCUGAGACAGGAGGUGGCUGUUAGAGUGGGCAUCAGCAGCGCUACCCUGUCUGGGGAUGGGAGUACUACUGACCCGACAGGAUCCAGUCCAGUCCCACAUCUUACAGAACAGAGGGGCAGAGAACUGCUGAAGACUGAGUUAUCAUGUCGGGACGCAACCAUCCAGAGGCUCCGGUGAGAUGUGCUGCUCUCCCACCAGGCCCGCGACUCCCAGUCUGCUCAGCUGGAUGUCCAUGGGCAGAGGAUCUCUCAGCUGCAGACGGAGCUACAGGAGAGCCAACUGGAGCUCCAGAGGGGACACAGCCGAAGAGAGCAGCAGCAGAGGGACCUGCAGACCCAGACACAGCAGGCAGAGGAGCUCCACACUCAGCUGGCUGAGGUCAAAGGGCGUCUUGUGCAGGUGGAGGGAGAAAAUGAGGCGCUCAUGGGAUAUAAGCGGGAGCAGAGAGCCGAGGUGGAAAGACUGGCAGCAGUGGUGUGUUCUCUGCAGAGCUCUGCCAGGGUCAGAGAGGACACAGUGUGCGCAGGCCGAGCAGAGGUGUGUGGACCUGGAGUGGGAGCUGACAGAGACCCCUCCCCAGAGACCAAGGGAAGCCUGGGCUGAGGAGCAGACCCAGAAGUUCCAGGCCACGGUGUCCAGUCUGAAGAGCCAGCAUGGCUGUGUUAGUCAGCAGCUGCAGGACAGGAGUGCUGAGGUGCAGAGGCUCCAGAGGUCAUUGGCUGAGCUACAUGGACGAGAGAUGAGGUGGGAGAGAGAGACAUCCGCCCUGCAGGGCCAGCCGGGCCUUGCCAGAGAGGAGCUCCACAGCGCCAUCCUCAGGAGGCAGGCACAGCAGCAGAAGGAAGAGCUGUUUGGUGAGCUGCAGAGGGAGGUGGACAGACUGAAGAAUGGGAGACAGGAGAUGCAAAAAAAGCUUUGUGGUAGAGAAGAGGAGCUGAAGAGGCUGAGAGACGAGCAGCAUCAGCUCAAGGACAAGGUGAGGGAGAGUGAUGUGCAGGCUGUGUGGCUGCAGAGCCAGGCAGACGGGGUGGGUCAGGAGCUGUGGGAGGAGAGUGCCCAGCGGGACAGGGAGCUGUGGGAGGAGAGUGCCCAGCGGGACAGGGAGCUGUGGGAGGAGAGUGCCCAGCGGGACAGGGAGCUGUGGGAGGAGAGUGCCCAGC
rnacentral:lncRNA from 13 species